UCUAAGUAUAAGCAAUUAUACCGUGAAACUGCGAAUGGCUCAUUAAAUCAGUUAUCGUUUAUUUGAUAGUACCUUACUACAUGGAUAACCGUGGUAAUUCUAGAGCUAAUACAUGCUAAAAAUCCCAACUUCGGAAGGGAUGUAUUUAUUAGAUAAAAAACCAAUGCCCUCCGGGGCUCCUUGGUGAUUCAUAAUAACUUCUCAGAUCGCAUGGCCUUGCGCCGGCGACGGUUCAUUCAAAUUUCUGCCCUAUCAACUUUCGAUGGUAAGGUAUUGGCUUACCAUGGUUUCAACGGGUAACGGGGAAUUAGGGUUCGAUUCCGGAGAGGGAGCCUGAGAAACGGCUACCACAUCCAAGGAAGGCAGCAGGCGCGCAAAUUACCCAAUCCCGAUACGGGGAGGUAGUGACAAUAAAUACUGAUACAGGGCUCUUUAGGGUCUUGUAAUUGGAAUGAGUACAAUUUAAACCUCUUAACGAGGAACAAUUGGAGGGCAAGUCUGGUGCCAGCAGCCGCGGUAAUUCCAGCUCCAAUAGCGUAUAUUAAAGUUGUUGCAGUUAAAAAGCUCGUAGUUGAACCUUUGGCCUGGCUGGCGGGUCCGCCUCACCGCGUGCACUCGUCCGGCCGGGCCUUUUCUUCUAGAGAACCGCAUGCCCUUCACUGGGUGUGUUGGGGACUAGGACUUUUACUUUGAAAAAAUUAGAGUGUUCAAAGCAGGCCUUUGCUCGAAUACGUUAGCAUGGAAUAAUAGAAUAGGACGUGCGGUCCUAUUUUGUUGGUUUCUAGGACCGCCGUAAUGAUUAAUAGGGACAGUCGGGGGCAUCAGUAUUCAAUUGUCAGAGGUGAAAUUCUUGGAUUUAUUGAAGACUAACUACUGCGAAAGCAUUUGCCAAGGAUGUUUUCAUUAAUCAGUGAACGAAAGUUAGGGGAUCGAAGACGAUCAGAUACCGUCGUAGUCUUAACCAUAAACUAUGCCGACUAGGGAUCGGGCGGUGUUACUAUUUUGACUCGCUCGGCACCUUACGAGAAAUCAAAGUGUUUGGGU
rnacentral:rRNA from 1 species